rnacentral:rRNA from 1 species
UACGGAGGGGGCUAGCGUUGUUCGGAAUUACUGGGCGUAAAGCGCGCGUAGGCGGCUUUGUAAGUUAGAGGUGAAAGCCCGGAGCUCAACUCCGGAAUUGCCUUUAAGACUGCAUCGCUAGAAUCAUGGAGAGGUGAGUGGAAUUCCGAGUGUAGAGGUGAAAAUUCGUAGAUAUUCGGAAGAACACCAGUGGCGAAGGCGACUCACUGGACAUGUAUUGACGCUGAGGUGCGAAAGCGUGGGGAGCAAACAGGG